rnacentral:rRNA from 1 species
UGAGGAAUAUUGGUCAAUGGGCGUGAGCCUGAACCAGCCAUGUAGCGUGCAGGAAGACGGCCCUAUGGGUUGUAAACUGCUUUUAUGCGGGGAUAAAGGAGUCCACGUGUGGUUUUUUGCAGGUACCGCAUGAAUAAGGACCGGCUAAUUCCGUGCCAGCAGCCGCGGUAAUACGGAUGGUCCGGGCGUUAUCCGGAAUUAUUGGGUUUAAAGGGAGCGUAGGCCGCGCUUUAAGCUUGUUGUGAAAUGUAGGAACUCAACUUUUAGAUUGCAGCGCGAACUGGCAUACUUGAGUGCUCACAACGUAGGCGGAAUUCAUGGUGUAGCGGUGAAAUGCUUAGAUAAAAUGACGAACUCCGAUUGCGAAGGCAGCUGACGGGAGCGCAACUGACGCUAAAGCUCGAAAGUGCGGGUAUCGAACAGG